rnacentral:rRNA from 1 species
CCUACGGGUGGCAGCAGUGAGGAAUCUUGGUCAAUGGCCGUAAGGCUGACCCAGCCACGUCGCGUGAGGGAAGACUGCCCUAUGGGUUGUAAACCUCUUUUAUGCGGGGAUAAAUGUGUCCACGUGUGGAUGUUUGCAGGUACCGCAUGAAUAAGGACCGGCUAAUUCCGUGCCAGCAGCCGCGGUAAUACGGAAGGUCCGUGCGUUAUCCGGAUUUAUUGGGUUUAACGGGAGCGUAGGCCGGUCUUUAAGCGUGCCGUGAAAUUUUGUGGCUCAACCAUGAGAGUGCGGCGCGAACUGGAGACCUUGAGUGCGCGGAAGGCAGGCGGAAUUCGUGGUGUAGCGGUGAAAUGCUUAGAGAUAAGGAAGAACCCCGAUGGCGAAGGCAGCCUGCUGCAGCGUAACUGACGCUGAAGCUCGAAAGCGCGGGGAUCGAACAGGAUUAGAUACCCGAGUAGUC